rnacentral:rRNA from 1 species
GACGAACGCUGGCGGCGUGCUUAACACAUGCAAGUCGUACGAAGUGGCGAACGGGUGAGUAACGCGUAAUCAACCUGCCCUUCAGUGGGGGACAACAGUUGGAAACGACUGCUAAUACCGCAUACUGAAGGAGGGGAUUGCGUCUGAUUAGCUAGUUGGAGGGGUAACGGCCCACCAAGGCGAGGAUCAGUAGCCGGUCUGAGAGUGUGAACGGCUACAUUGGGACUGAGACACGGCCCAGACUCCUACGGGAGGCAGCAGUGGGGAAGCUUCCGCAAUGGACGAAAGUCUGACGGAGCAACGCCGCGUGAGUGAUGACGGCCUUCGGGUUGUAAAGCUCUGUUAAUCGGGACGCGGUACCGGAAUAGAAAGCCACGGCUAACUACGUGCCAGCCGCCGCGGUAAUUC